UACGGGGGGAGCAAGCGUUGUUCGGAUUUACUGGGCGUAAAGGGCGCGUAGGCGGCCACGACAAGUCACUUGUGAAAUCUCCGGGCUUAACUCGGAACGGUCAAGUGAUACUGUCGGGCUAGAGUGCAGAAGGGGCAACUGGAAUUCUCGGUGUAGCGGUGAAAUGCGUAGAUAUCGAGAGGAACACCUAUGGCUAAGGCAGCUCGCUGGGACGUUACUGACGCUGAGGAGCGAAAGCGUGGGGAGCGAACAGG
rnacentral:rRNA from 1 species